GCCGGACGCGGCUGUAGUCUCAGCUACUCGGAAGGCUGAGGUGGGAGGAUUGCUUGAGCCCAGGAGUUCUGGGCUGUACUGCGAUAUGCUGAUCUGGUGUCCUCACUAAGUUCGGCAUCAAUAUGGUGACGUCCCAGGAGUGGGGGACCACCAGGUUGCCUAAGGAGGGGUGAACUGGCCCAGGUCGGAAACGGAGCAGGUCAAAACUCCCAUGCUGAUCAGUAGUGGGAUCACCUACUAGUGUUAGUGGCCUGUGAAUAGCCACUGCACUCCAGCCUGGGCAACAUAGCAAGACCCUGUCUCU
rnacentral:SRP_RNA from 1 species